ensembl:lncRNA
AUGGUGUCCUUUGAUGUAGUCUCUCUCUUCACUUGCAUACCCACCACGGAGGCAGUGGAGACUGUCAGAAAACGACUACAAGAAGACAGCUCCUUGGAAGACAGGACCAACUUCACACCCGAUCAGAUCUGCACACUGUUAGACCUCUGCCUUACCACAACAUACUUCAAAUACAACGAAGGCUUCUACAGACAAAAACAUGGCUGCGCCAUGGGCUCCCCCGUGUCACCUAUUGCAGCCAACCUUUACAUGGAGGAAGUGGAAAGGAAGGCUCUUGGCUCUUUCAAAGGAAGAGCACCCAGCUACUGGUACAGAUAUGUAGAUGACACCUGGGUCAAAAUCAAGACACAAGAAGUGGAAUCCUUCACUGCGCACAUUAACGCUGUGGAUAAAAACAUCAAGUUCACCAGGGAAGACACAAAGGAUAACUGUUUGCCUUUCCUGGACUGCGCCGUGCACAUUGAAGAGAAUGGCAACCUCAACAUCGAAGUUUACCGGAAGCCCACACACACGGACCAGUACCUCCUCUUUGACUCCCAUCACCCUCUGGAACACAAACUUGGAGUAAUUAGGACCCUACACCACCGGGCAGAACUUGUUCCCUCUAAGCCUGAGGGAAAAAAGAAGGAACACACACACAUAAAGGAAGCCCUCAAAACAUGUGGUUAUCCUAACUGGGCGUUCAUAAAGUCAGCAAAGAGGCACAGAAAAGAAGAUCAGACACCAGCGAGGGAGGAUAAGAAAGACAGACGCAACAACGUUGUCAUCCCCUAUGUAGCCGGUGUAUCAGAGAAACUCAGGAGAGUUUUCUCCAAGCACAACAUCCCAGUGUACUUCAGACCCAGCAACACACUCAGACAGAAACUGGUUCACCCGAAAGACAAAACUCCAAAACACAGACUUAACAACGUGGUGUAUGCUGUACAGUGCAGCGAGGAAUGCCCAGACCUCUACAUUGGAGAGACCAAACAGCCACUUCACAAGCACAUGGCACAACAUAGAAGAGCCACCUCCACAGGACAAGACUCAGCAGUCCAUCUGCAUCUUAAGGAUAAAGGACACUCUUUCGAGGAUGCCAAUGUUCACAUUUUGGACAGAGAGGACAGAUGGUUUGAAAGAGGAGUGAAAGAGGCCAUCUAUGUCCACUGUGAGCGACCAUCUUUGAACAGAGGCGAUGGUUUACGACACCAACUGUCUGCCAUCUAUAAUCCAGUUUUGAGUUCCCUCCCCAGACGCCUUAACGCCCACUCACAUCCUGGGCCAUCUGACCUCAGGAAUUCACAUGACAAGGUGGGGCCAGGUUUCACAAUGAGCUCACCCGAAACCCUGGCUGAUUAG